UAGGGAAUCUUCCGCAAUGGACGAAAGUCUGACGGAGCAACGCCGCGUGAGUGAUGAAGGCUUUCGGGUCGUAAAACUCUGUUGUUAGGGAAGAACAAGUGCUAGUUGAAUAAGCUGGCACCUUGACGGUACCUAACCAGAAAGCCACGGCUAACUACGUGCCAGCAGCCGCGGUAAUACGUAGGUGGCAAGCGUUAUCCGGAAUUAUUGGGCGUAAAGCGCGCGCAGGUGGUUUCUUAAGUCUGAUGU
rnacentral:rRNA from 1 species